rnacentral:rRNA from 1 species
AGAGUUUGAUCCUGGCUCAGGACGAACGCUGGCGGCGUGCCUAACACAUGCAAGUCGAACGGAGAUAUGAUUUCGGUUGUAUCUUAGUGGCGAACGGGUGAGUAACGCGUGAGCAACCUGACUCUUAGAGGGGGAUAACACUCGGAAACGAGUGCUAAUACCGCAUAAGACCACGACAUGGCAUCAUGACGCGGUAAUCAUGACGAGGUCAAAGGAGAAAUCCGCUUGGAGAUGGGCCCGCGGCUGAUUAGCUAGUUGGUGAGGUAAUGGCUCACCAAGGCGACGAUGAGUAGCCGGCCUGAGAGGGUGAACGGCCACACUGGAACUGAGACACGGUCCAGACUCCUACGGGAGGCAGCAGUAAGGAAUAUUGCGCAAUGGGCGCAAGCCUGACGCAGCGACGCCGCGUGAGUGAUUAAGGCUUUCGGGUUGUAAACCUCUGUCCUAAGGGAAGAACAACCACUUGGAAAAUAUUGAGUGUAUAUGACGGUACCCAAAGAGGAAGCCCCGGCUAACUACGUGCCAGCAGCCGCGGUAAUACGUAGGGGGCAAGCGUUGUCCGGAAUUAUUGGGCGUAAAGGGCGCGUAGGCGGAUAAUUAAGUCCGGUGUGAAAGAUCAGGGCUCAACCCCGGAAGGCCUUUGGAACUGGACAGCUUGAGUGCAAGAGAGGGAAGUGGAAUUCCUAGUGUAGCGGUGAAAUGCGUAGAUAUUGGGAGGAACACCCGUGGCGAAGGCGGCUUCCUGGACGAUAACUGACACUGAGGCGCGAAAGCGUGGGGAGCAAACAGGAUUAGAUACCCUGGUAGUCCACGCCGUAAACGAUGAGUGCUAGGUGUCGGGGGUAUCGACCCCCUCGGUGCCACAGCUAACGCAAUAAGCACUCCGCCUGGGGAGUACGGUCGCAAGACUGAAACUCAAAGGAAUUGACGGGGGCCCGCACAAGCGGUGGAGUAUGGGAUUUCGACGCAACGCGAAGAACCUUACCAAGGCUUGACAUCCCGUGACAGCCAUAGAAAUAUGGACUUCUUAGUUUACUAAGACACGGAGACAGGUGGUGCAUGGUUGUCGUCAGCUCGUGUCGUGAGAUGUUGGGUUAAGUCCCGCAACGAGCGCAACCCCUACAGCCAGUUGCCAGCACGUAAUGGUGGGAACUCUGGCAGAACUGCCGUUGACAAAACGGAGGAAGGUGGGGAUGACGUCAAAUCAUCAUGCCCCUUAUGUCUUGGGCUACACACGUACUACAAUGGCCUGAACAGAGGGAAGCGAAACUGCGAAGUUAAGCGAAUCCCUUAAAACAGGUCCCAGUUCGGAUUGUAGGCUGCAACUCGCCUACAUGAAGUUGGAAUCGCUAGUAAUCGCAGGUCAGCAUGCCGCGGUGAAUGAGUUCUCGGGUCUUGUACACACCGCCCGUCA